rnacentral:rRNA from 1 species
AUGGGAUAUGUCCUUGGAACGGUUGAAGAACCGGUUGGCAAGGAGAGGUCAGAAUGGAAAAAGUGGAGUGUCACUGACUCCAUGAUACUGGCUUGUAUGCUCAAUUCUCUGAUUCCUGCUAUUGCAGCGUCUGUUCAGGCAUUCUCGAGUGCUUUUGAUGUGUGGACCCUGCUGUCCAAAAGGUACUCAUGUAGGGGAACUCUGAUGCUCAUGUCUCAAAUCAAAGACAAGAUCCAUGCUGUGACGAACAACAUGGUGGUGUACGUGAAUAAGCUGCAACACCUUUGGGCCGAUCUGGAUAAGUGUGAUCCCCUUUAG